rnacentral:rRNA from 1 species
AUUGAACGCUGGCGGAAUGCUUUACACAUGCAAGUCGAACGGCAGCACGGGGGCAACCCUGGUGGCGAGUGGCGAACGGGUGAGUAAUACAUCGGAACGUGCCCGGUCGUGGGGGAUAACGUAGCGAAAGUUACGCUAAUACCGCAUACGAUCUGAGGAUGAAAGCGGGGGACCUUCGGGCCUCGCGCGAUCGGAGCGGCCGAUGUCAGAUUAGGUAGUUGGUGGGGUAAAGGCCUACCAAGCCGACGAUCUGUAGCUGGUCUGAGAGGACGACCAGCCACACUGGGACUGAGACACGGCCCAGACUCCUACGGGAGGCAGCAGUGGGGAAUUUUGGACAAUGGGCGCAAGCCUGAUCCAGCCAUUCCGCGUGCAGGACGAAGGCCUUCGGGUUGUAAACUGCUUUUGUAUGGAACGAAAAGGCUCUGGCUAAUACCUGGGGCUCAUGACGGUACCGUAAGAAUAAGCACCGUCUAACUACGUG